CGGAAAGGAGGCGCAGGCUCUGGCAGUGCACAGGUGUGUUGGUGCGUGGGUGGCGCUCCUCCCCUCCUCCCAACGCCGCCGCCGCCCCGUGAGUCGAUCUGUUGGUGCUUGAAGGGAUGGUGAUGAUGAUGAUGCGGCCUCUGUGUCCCGAGUGAAGACGUCCGGCCUCGCGCCACGCCCUUGGGUGAGUUACGCUCCGGCUUUGUUUUUUUUGGGGUGAGAGGAAGGUGAGAUGAGGGGAGGAUGAUGGGAAGAGAGAGAGAGAGAGAGAGAGAGAGAGAGAGAGAGAGAGAGAGAGAGUUAGUUAUGCUUUUGAUUCCCUCUCCUGCUGCAUCAUCGCCAUCGUCUGGACCACAAGGUAAGUUCCUGUCACUCGCACUAAUAAAACGUCUCUCCAUCUCCCGUGUUUUUGGGCCACAGAGAUGAUCAGACGCGUUCCUGUGAUGUCCUCCUUGGCAGUGAUGCAGAGUCCUUGUAAGAAUAUGUGUAGAAUGAAUAAAAGUCUGAAAACAAGUACCUAACAUGCAGUAAGUCACAACACUUCAGUGAAAGCAAUGUAUGAAAUCUCUAUUAAUAUUCAUAAAGGAGGAUGAAAGGGAAUAUAUUUAACAAUUUCCAGUUGAUGUGGUUCUUAACGUGGCUGCAGGAAGAGAAAAAAAUCCCCUAGAAUGAUUAAUGAUUAAGGAAAUAUGUGCCAAAUAGCAAUAGCAGCUACAUUGUACAAGGUUCGCCUCAGAUUUUUUUAAAAUAUGACUUGGAGAACAAAACUUGAUCUCGUUUACAAAAAAUCCAUAAAAGUGAAGGGAGGGGAGCUCAAAUGCCUAUCGACGUGUAUCAAGGAAUUGCAAAGAACUUAAGGAGCGUUUUCUAACAGGAGGCGUGGCUGUGGUGGUGGUGAUGGUAGUGCCGUGGUAGUGGUGGUGCCGGUGCCCGCUGUGUUCACUACGGGUUAGUCACGGUGGAGGUGGCAGGCGAGACGCGGGAAUGCACCUAGUCAGCCAGUUCACGGAGUUUCAUCAUUUCUUUUUCCUCGAACACAUGCGGGUGUGGUAGAUGAUGAUUCGCCGCUGUAUUAUGUCCAGUGUGCUUUGGGACUCAACACCGCUGAGCUGAGCUUUACCCGGAGCCGCGCCUGUCUGGCCUUGCUGUGCCUCACGUGGCCCUCAUGUCAGCCCCGCACACAGAGAACUUAAUGAUCUUUCUUGCAUUGGAACGAUAACUUGCCGAGUGAUUUUCUUCUUUUCUAGGGGAUUACGUGCAUUAGAUUCAGUGUCUCCUUGGUAAUGCUUCUUGAUGUUUUUUUGCAGUAAGACAGAGAGAGAGAGAGAGAGAGAGAGAGAGAGAGAGAGAGAGAGAGAGAGAGAGAGAGAGAGAGAGAGAGAGAGAGAGGGUUGCAUGCGUUAGGGUAUAUUAAGAAUUCAUCUUGACACCUGUGUAUGGUAGGCAGGUGUGGCGACAGAUGUUACUAGCUAGUGUGUGUGUGUGUGUGUGUGUGUGUGUGUGUGUGUGUGUGUGUGUGUGUGUGUGUGUGUGUGUGUGUGCGUGUGUGCGUGUGUGUACGUGUGUGUGUUAUGUAAUCGAGUGUAUGACGGGUAUGGUGUACGGCGGACGCAGUUUAUGUACUUCGGCAGGGCGUCAAGGCGGCGUAGUGCGGUGGCUAGUGGUGCAGUGCGUUGUCCAGGGAGCGGUGAGUGUGAGAGGUGGUUUGUGUGUGUGGGGGAGAGGGGGAUUCAUUUAGCACAGUGCACCUCCUGCGUGGAGGUGCUUCUCUAAAGGGAGGGGAAAUGUACAGUACAAUAAAUCACAUUAUUAUACGUGGUAUAUUUUAAGAGAGAGAGAGAGAGAGAGAGAGAGAGAGAGAGAGAGUUCCAGCUCGUGCUCUUCAGGAGGCCCGCCAGGCGCCGAGACACACGUGGCACAUUGUACUGUAGUGUCCAGUAGUGACGUUACAUCGCACUGUUAUUAAGCAUGUAAUUACUCUCCCAAGUAGCAACAUGAGUGUAUGCAUGUAUGUAUGUGUGUAUGUAUGUAUGUUAUGUAGGCAGGUAAAUGUGAGAGUGGAACAGGAUCGCGGGGUCGUGCAUGAUCGUCACCUCAAGUCACAUGUCCCGAAAUUCUCUGUUGACAGUUCAUCGUCACUGAUCAAUAAUCAAUAUCACCUGCAGUAAACUUUUCAACUGUUCUUAUUAGUUUCCCUCUCUGUAAUGCAUUUUCAAAAUGUGUGAAUCCUACAAAGAGAAUCUCACAUGUCUUUUUGAUGUAAAUAUGAAGCCAUAAUUGUGAAUAUGUUCAUGUAAUUGUGCGUGCAGCCAGCCAGCAAACAUGUCAGCCGUCAGUGUGAGUGAGGCGCCACGCGUCCCUGUGGUGGUGAGUGGCGGCUGGGCGGUGCAAGGCUGGCGGGGAGGCGACACACAAGCUGAGUUCUAUCAACCCCUAUCUCUGGUCUCUCAAAAUUGUGUAAAUAUUUGAAUAUAUGAUUUUAGUAGCAUUUACAUUUCGAAUUCAUCAAGAUAUCUUUAAAACUCAGUGCAAGUGACUUUAUACUUACAGCAAGAAUUAAUGAGAAAUAGCGAAUAUGCAAGCAAUCUAAUUUGGUGCUUGAAUAAUGACACUGGGACCUUGCAAGCUUCCCAGUGUGCGCUAGUAUGGCCAUUACUUGCACCCGAGUGAGCAGCCUUAUUCAGAAACGCUUUGGUCUCUUACCACGACUAUUAUCAAAGGCAACAGAGACAGUUAGCCACAUUCUCAAGAGUGCUUCUCCUGUUAAUAAAGUGGAAAAAUGGCAAAUCUAUCACUAGAACCAUAGAAAAGCGCUCUUAAAAACCCGUGGCACUUCAACUAGAUCCUUUUGAAUGUGGAGAAGGUGCCGGCAGAAGUGUUUCGGAUGCGUUGCCUGCCGUAUCAGCUUCCGUGUUUUUGUUGCACGUUCCGGCGAGCAAGUAGUUCCAUUCCAUGGCGGGACGGGCUGCUCGUCUCCAAAUAGCGAGGUGGUGGCCGGCGCGAUGGUGGCUGCUGGGUGGUCCUGCUAGCGGGGGGUGCGGUUCGUCCCCCCUUCUCUAUAGCCAUGCGCUAGUGGAGUCUAGUGGUGGGGCUACACACACACACACACACACACACACACACACACACACACACACACACACAUUUCGCGGUGCUUGAGAAUACUGGCGAGUCACGAACACCCGGAAAACACAAUCAUUAUUUCGUAUAGUGAUUGAAGUGUUAAAUGCGUGAUUUGGAUUGCGUGUUUUUACUUAUUUUACCCAUUUAUUUAUUUGCUUAUCUAUCUCUCUAUCUCUUUAUCUAUUUAGCCCUUCAUGUACAGGGGCACCUACAGUUUCCAUUACAUAUAAGUUUUAUUUUGAAUGUGUUAUGUUAUUUAUGUAUUUAUUCAUGUAUUUUUAGAGACGACCUUAUUUUCUUUGUAUCGUUUAUGUAAAGAGUGAACACCGCAGACCUUUAAAGAUUUCUUCUGUAACUUAAGAAUGUCUGGGAGUUUCAAAGUAAAAUGUGUCGUAUUUUUUUCAAAGUUGAGGAAAUGCUCUUACUCUUUUGAUGUGUAUGUAAAGGAGGAUUACAGCAGUCAAGGCCUAUAAAGAGUUAAAGAUAAAUUUGUACGGUGUAUUCAUGUUGUGGAGACGUCACUAUUGUUAUUAUUAUUAUCAUCAUCAUAGUUAUUAUUAUUAUUAUUAUUAUUAUUAUUAUUAUUAUACUGUCUAUGGAAAACAAGAUCAGCUCAAUAUUCUUGAAAGUUUAUUAUAAAUACCAAGUUUUGUAAGGAGCACAAGGUGAUUAAGUGUGUUUUAUUUGUGGUGCGGAGACUCCUUCAAUCUUCUUACUGCCAGUGUAAAGGUACAUUGGCACAGGCGUUUAAAAAUUCUAUUAUGAAUGUGAUCUUUACUUAAGAGCGGCAAGAUGAAUCUGUCGGCUUUACUUAUUUAUUGUGGUGACGUCCCGGUGUUGGAGGUCACAGAAUUAUCAAGUUCGCCAUUAAUUCCAAGCACCACUAAGAACGAAUCUUUCACCGUGAGGAUACAACGAAAGAGGCAAAUAAGGAAAGCUACAAGGCGUCUAUACACACAUGGCCCUCCUUCCUUGCGAGUGUGUGUGUGUGUGUGUGUGUGUGUGUGUGUGUGUGUGUGUGUGUAAAACAUAUACGAUUUCUGCCUACCAUCUUUAUUCAUACAAUUAAUUAAACCUUCUUCUCUCGAGUAUACUGCCAUUUUUUAAACUUACGUCAUUCUAAUCUAAACUUGCAUUUCCUUAAUGUUUAACCUGUGUUUUCUACUGGUUAAAGAAGACAUCUAUUUUGUUUAAAGAUGGAUUUAAAUGUUUGUUUAAUCUUUUAAUGUGGAGAUUUUAGGUAGUAGUAUCUCUCUCUCUCUCUCUCUCUCUCUCUCUCUCUCUCUCUCUCUCUCUCUCUCUCUCUCUCUCUCUCUCUCUCUCUCUCUCUCUCUCUCUCUCUCUCUCUCUCUCUCUCUCUCUCUCUCUCUCUGUCUGUCUCUUGUGGCAGGAACCUGGAGCGCUGACGUUUGUUUGAUGUAAGCGAUGAAGUAUAAACACGCCGCCUCUGCUGAUCAUGAGGAUUUCAGAGUCAAUAUCCACCUCUGUUUACUUACCAACGCGUGCAACACUCAUUGGGAGCUCAUCGGGGGAGGGGUCGUGUGUCUUGUAGGGUGUUGGGCAGUGGUGGGCAGUCAUGGGGUUACAGUGGUCAGUGCUCAGUAAAGUAGGGCAAAAUAGGGUAAGGUAAAGGUAUAAGGCAGGGUAAGGUAGCAGGGUAGGGCAGGAUAGGUCGCCCCCAAUCCAUCCCCUCUCACUGCCUUUUCCUUCAGUCAUGUAACAAGGACGUGUGUGUGUGUGUGUGUGUGUGUGUGUGUGUGUGUGU